rnacentral:tRNA from 1 species
UGGGGAAUCGUCUAGUGGUAGGACAGCGGACUCUGAAUCCGUCAACGAAGGUUCGAAUCCUUCUUCCCCAGCCA